rnacentral:lncRNA from 1 species
CACAUAAUCAUCAUCACAACAUUCAUAAUCAUCUUCAUGUAACAUCCUAACAACCUCAUAUUCAACACCAUAAACAGUCAUCAUAACAUUAUAAUCAAUAUCAUAAUAAUAUAAACAACAACAUAUAUUCAACAAUAAUGUUCUUACUUCUUUAACUUUAGUAACACUUGCUAAUUCAACCAACAACGACGACAACAACAAGAUUCAACGACAACGACAACAA